GGCGAGAUCACACAGGUCGCACAGACCUGGCCAGGAGCUGGACUUGUGACACUACCAGGGUGGCUAUUGUGCCAGUAUCCAUAGGAACCUUGCAUCCAGAAUAUUGCCGUACCUGUGAAUAAAGUGCAGCUGCUCCAGAGACAUUGUGGAAUGGAGAAAACAGAGGCCCGACGUGGACGUUACCAAGGUGAACCUGAAGGAGACCUCUAGGAGAACAGCCGUGUAGACAGCGGAGGACAAGCCCCCAUCAGGACGUCCAUAAUUUCCCUCAAGGUCGACCAUCAGUGUGCGGCACUGGCAGAGUGUUUGAGAGCCUGGAGGUUGAAUGUAGGGGGUCCCCAGGUGCCUCCACAGGGUCCCCACUGUGCCAGGAACCACUCUAGGCACCGGAGAGAGAACUGGCUGGACCCGGGCUGCAUCCUGCGGACAGAGCUGGAGAGCCGACAGGACCUUUCGGAGUGGUUGUAGGGAAAGAGAAAGCAAAAAAUUGGAUGGACGGCAUGGAGGAGAAUGUAUGAAAUGAAUUUUGUUUUGCCCCAAAUUAGUUUCAGUUGCCUAUGAAAAUCCAAACAGGCUUCCUCUUCCAAGGGCUGUUCUGUGUUCUUGCCUUGCAGAGGUAAUACGGCAACCUCUAGUGGCCAGGCACAUGGAUAGGAUGGGAGUGACAACUCAGACAGGCUCCAAGUGUUUUCUCAAGAUAUCAAAGCAAGUAAACCCCAAUCUAAUAACUAGAGCCCACAGCUCAGGACCACUGCCUCAAAUCUUCCUGUUAAGAGGUCUUUGAGCAGUUUUUAUGCCCAACGACUAAUUCUGACAUCGAAGACCAGUUUAUCAAGGCAAGGGACAUUUUCAUUGGCAUCAUUGCACUCGAGAGAAUUCUCUUUCACUCAGUCUACUUCAACCCUUAUCAUACAUUGAGAAGCCCAUAAGCAUGUUUAAAGCGGAACAGCUUCAGAAGUCACUUGCAAACACACUUCUUAUUGAAGGUAAAAGAAAGGAAGACCUUUUGCCUGAGGACAGCCUGUACCCAGGCUGGGAAGACUGGCUUAUGCAGAAUACUUGUCAUUACAGACAUAUUUCCAUUUAAACUUCGGCCAUGUUCAUUUUGGGCAUGAUUUAUUAUGUCAGGGGAUUUUGAAUGUUAAAAGUCUACCAACCAGUUGCAAAAGCUUCCUGCCCAUAUCAAGGAACAUUAUUUCAGAGC